rnacentral:rRNA from 1 species
AGUGAACGUUGGCGGCGUGGAUUAGGCGUGCAAGUCGAGCGAGAACCGUAGCAAUACGGGGACAGCGGCGAAGGGGACAGUAAUGUGUAGGUACCUACCUCCGGGUUCGGGAUAGCUGCGGGAAACUGCAGGUAAUACCGAAUAACGUCUCCGGACCAAAGGUGUGAUUCCACCUGGAGAGGGGCCUGCAUCCUAUUAGCUUGUCGGCGGGGUAACGGCCCACCAAGGCGACGGUGGGUAGCGGGUGUGAGAGCACGACCCGCGUCAUUGGGACUGAGACACUGCCCAGACACCUACGGGUGGCUGCAGUCGUGAAUCUUCGGCAAUGGGCGCAAGCCUGACCGAGCGACGCCGCGUGCGGGAUGAAGGCCUUCGGGUUGUAAACCGCUGUCGUAGAGGAGGAAAUGCAGGGGGGUUCUCCCCUCUGUUUGACCUAUUCUAGGAGGAAGUACGGGCUAAGUUCGUGCCAGCCGCCGCAGUAA